UAAACAUCGAUAGUAAUAUACCUAUACUAUCCGCCAGGGUACUACGAGCAUUAGCUUAAAACCCAAAGGACUUGGCGGUGCUUUAGAUCCCCCUAGAGGAGCCUGUUCUAGAACCGAUACCCCCCGUUAAACCCCACCUUCUCUUGCCCUCCGCCGUCUAUAUACCGCCGUCGUCAGCUUACCCUGUGAAGGAACUAUAGUAAGCAAAAUCAACACAAUUCAAAACGCCAGGUCGAGGUGUAGCAUAUGAGAAGGAAAGAAAUGGGCUACAUUCCCUAUUAAAGGGCACACGAACAACACUUUGAAACACGUGUUAGGAAGGAGGAUUUAGUAGUAAGCAGAAAAUAGAGUGUUCCGCUGAAACUGGCCCUGAAGCGCGCACACACCGCCCGUCACUCUCCCCAAACUACACCUGAAAAAUAAUUAAUAAGCUUUUAUAGCAAAGGGGAGGCAAGUCGUAACAUGGUAAGUGUACUGGAAAGUGCACUUGGAAAAAU
rnacentral:rRNA from 1 species